rnacentral:rRNA from 1 species
CCCUUAGAUGUUCUGGGCCGCACGCGCGCUACACUGAUGAAUUCAACGAGUAUACUUUCCGUCCGCGGAAACUCCUUGGUUGAGAUGCCUAGGUAAUCUUUUAAACGUUCAUCGUGAUGGGGCUAGAUUAUUGCAAUUAUUAAUCUUCAACGAGGAAUGCCUAGUAAGCGCGAAUCAUCAGUUCGCGUUGAUUACGUCCCUGCCCUUUGUACACACCGCCCGUCGCUCCUACCGAUUGAAUGGUCCGGUGAAAAUUUCGGAUAGUGGCGAUGCUGGCGGUUCGCCGCCGGCGCUGCCGCUAGAAGAUCUUUAAACCUUAUCAUUUAGAGGAAGGAGAAGUCGUAACA